GGCCUGGUGGUGUAAUGGUAACAUGCCUGCUUCACAUUUGAAUGUAAAGUGGUGUCAGUGAGAGAUCCUUGUUCGAGUCAAGGUCAGGCCA